rnacentral:lncRNA from 1 species
ACUACACCGAUUUCCUCAGCUAUAAUUCUUCCAUAAGGAGCCUCAUUUGUCGUCUUACCGUGAGUGCCCAACUCGAGGUGUCCCACAGUCCUUUGAUGCAUAUCAAGUCCUGAUUGCACCUCUGACUUCAUACACACCACUGAGUUCCCAAAUGUGGCGUACAGGAGCAUGUGCAAACACAUU